rnacentral:rRNA from 1 species
UGGGGAAUUUUGGACAAUGGGCGCAAGCCUGAUCCAGCCNUGCCGCGUGCGGGAAGAAGGCCUUCGGGUUGUAAACCGCUUUUGUCAGGGAAGAAAUCCUUUGAGAUAAUACCUCGGAGGGAUGACGGUACCUGAAGAAUAAGCACCGGCUAACUACGUGCCAGCAGCCGCGGUAAUACGUAGGGUGCGAGCGUUAAUCGGAAUUACUGGGCGUAAAGCGUGCGCAGGCGGUCUUGCAAGACAGGUGUGAAAUCCCCGGGCUUAACCUGGGAACUGCACUUGUGACUGCAAGGCUGGAGUACGGCAGAGGGGGAUGGAAUUCCGCGUGUAGCAGUGAAAUGCGUAGAUAUGCGGAGGAACACCGAUGGCGAAGGCAAUCCCCUGGGCCUGUACUGACGCUCAUGCACGAAAGCGUGGGGAGCAAACAGGAUUAGAUACCCUGGUAGUCCACGCCCUAAACGAUGUCAACUGGUUGUUGGACGGCUUGCUGUUCAGUAACGAAGCUAACGCGUGAAGUUGACCGCCUGGGGAGUACGGCCGCAAGGUUG